CAGUGUGACAUCAGAAGGAUACCCGGAGUACAGCUGAAUUUGAAGUCAGCCAUCUGCCAGGAGCAAUACUCAUUGACCCUCAGAGUGAUACACUGCAAGAAUUUCUGCAGAAACAGCUCCUUCCAGGUAUAGAAAAGAUCUCCGUAGGACUCGUUCUUUGUUGUUGCAAAUUGCUUUCAAGCUGCUUUAAGGUGAGAAUUUUCAAAAGCGCGCAGUGAGCACACUUGGGGCCAGAGUUUCAGAAGUGCUCAGUCC
rnacentral:lncRNA from 1 species